rnacentral:rRNA from 1 species
UAGAUACCCGUCUAUUCCUGACCUAAAAUAAAGCCGAAUAUUACGAACCAUAGUUUAAAAUUCAAAGAUUUUGGCGGUGUCUUAUAAAACCAGGGGAACCUGUCUCAUAACUCGAUAAUCCACGCAUACUCAACCUCCUCUUGAAUACAGCAUGUAUACUGCCGUUGUAAGCACACCUUUAAAAGAAUGUGCCAUUAUGAACUCAUAUACAUCAGGUCAAAGUGCAGCUAAUAAGGAGGUGAUGAUGGGUUACAACCCAAAAACAGACUAUCAACCAAGAAAUAAAAAAUCUUACGAAAGUGGACUUGGCUGUAAUCAAUUUACAAGUUAAAAAAAUGAAUACAAACCUAAGACAUGUACACAUCGCCCGUCACUCUACCCCAAAGGAUAGAUAAGU